GACAGAGGUGCCGAGCGUUAGGCGGAAUCACUGGGCUUAAAGCGUGUGUAGGCGGGCCGUUAAGUACCUUGUGAAAUCCCCCGGCUCAACCGGGGAACGGCUGGGUAUACUGGCGGCCUUGAGAGACCUAGGGGCGAGCGGAACAAGCGGUGGAGCGGUGAAAUGCGUAGAUAUCGCUUGGAACGCCGACGGUGAAAACAGCUCGCUGGGGGUCUUCUGACGCUGAGACACGAAAGCCAGGGGAGCGAACGGG
rnacentral:rRNA from 1 species